rnacentral:rRNA from 1 species
UACGUAGGGGGGCAAGCGUUGUCCGGAAUCAUUGGGCGUAAAGCGCGUGUAGGCGGUUCGGUAAGUCUGCUGUGAAAGUCCAGGGCUCAACCCUGGGAUGCCGGUGGAUACUGUCGGACUAGAGUACGGAAGAGGCGAGUGGAAUUCCCGGUGUAGCGGUGAAAUGCGUAGAGAUCGGGAAGAACAUCGGUGGCGAAGGCGGCUCUCUGGGACGGUACUGACGCUGAGACGCGAAAGCCAGGGGAGCAAACGGG